rnacentral:rRNA from 1 species
CUACUGGAAACGGUAGCUAAUACCGCAUAACGUCGCAAGACCAAAGAGGGGGACCUUCGGGCCUCUUGCCAUCGGAUGUGCCCAGAUGGGAUUAGCUAGUAGGUGGGGUAACGGCUCACCUAGGCGACGAUCCCUAGCUGGUCUGAGAGGAUGACCAGCCACACUGGAACUGAGACACGGUCCAGACUCCUACGGGAGGCAGCAGUGGGGAAUAUUGCACAAUGGGCGCAAGCCUGAUGCAGCCAUGCCGCGUGUAUGAAGAAGGCCUUCGGGUUGUAAAGUACUUUCAGCGGGGAGGAAGGGAGUAAAGUUAAUACCUUU